UACGUAGGGUGCAAGCGUUGUCCGGAAUUAUUGGGCGUAAAGAGCUCGUAGGCGGUUUGUCGCGUCUGCUGUGAAAACUCGGGGCUUAACCCCGGGCCUGCAGUGGGUACGGGCAGACUAAAGUGCGGUAGGGGAGACUGGAAUUCCUGGUGUAGCGGUGAAAUGCGCAGAUAUCAGGAGGAACACCGGUGGCGAAGGCGGGUCUCUGGGCCGUAACUGACGCUGAGACGCGAAAGCGUGGGGAGCGAACAGG
rnacentral:rRNA from 1 species